UGCACUCUUUUCACUUUUUAUUUUUCAACAGUAGAGGAGACAAGAGCAAGGGUAAAGUAAUGCACAAAAAGAAAAACUACGCUGGUGAUUGCUGGGUGUCAAGAGGGUAAUAUUGUUUUCCUCCUUUCUGGUGCAGUAAUUUGUUUGUUCGUUAUUUUCUACAGUGGAGGAGACAGGAACAAGGUUGAACUAAUGCAUUGAAAGAAAAACUACCCCGGUGAUUGCUGGGUGUCAAGAGGGUAAUAUUGUUUUCCUCCUUUCUGGUACAGUAUUUUGUUUGUUCGUUAUUUUCUACAGUGGAGAAGACAGGAACAAGGUUGAACUAAUGCAUUGAAAGAAAAACUACCCUGGUGAUUGCUGGGUGUCAAGAGGGUAAUAUUGUUUUCCUCCUUUCUGGUACAGUAUUUUGUUUGUUCGUUAUUUUCUACAGUGGAGAAGACAGGAACAAGGUUGAACUAAUGCAUUGAAAGAAAAACUACCCCGGUGAUUGCUGGGCGUCAAGAUGGUUGUGCUGCUAGCUAGAGGCCGCCAAGGACCUGAGAACAGCAUGCAGGCUCAACACUGCUGGACAGACCAACACAAGUGGCUCGGGAAGUGCAGCCGUCCAGGCCGGUGUGAGCCUUGCUGUGUUGUGCCAAACUCUGUGUACAUAAGACAGAAGUAAGUUGUGCAGUGUAAAAAGCCAUUAGGUAGUGUAGUAUCUGUACAUUUCCGUAAAUAAAGACUGAUGCAAUA